AAGAACUUUUAGUGCUCUGGGCAGCUGCGAGGGGUCAAAGAUAGCACAUCUCAAAUCCAGCAGGGGAGUCUCAUUCCUUCUCUUCACUGGAGCCUAAAAUGGGUCGCUGAGGCUGCUUGACAAAGGCAGAGACUGAAGGCUGACCCUUAGGCACAAGCGAGGGGACUACAGAGUCCCCGAGAGGAAGGCUGCCGGGAAGCUGCCGAGGGCUGACCCAAGGCACGCUGGGCAAACCUCCAGGUGCCAGGCCAGCAGGAGAGCGUCUGCUGCACCUGCCCAUCGCAGGUGGUAAUCAAGAUGGCAGAACAAGAAUCAGGGCACCUGGGCACCGCUGUUAUCUCACUGGGUUCACUCCAAGCCCUGGAAGCUAAGUUCCUGCUGACCAGGUGGCCCGGCUCCCCGGGCGUGUCAGAGUUCCGGACAGCCACAUCGUGAGGCGACACAUAAAGCUUUAUGUUGUUCCGGUCGAAGAAUUCCACUUCCGUGAGACCCACCCACGACGCGCUGCCCCAGUUGGACUGGAUUUCCAUGGUCACGUAGACGGCAUCCUUGAUCUCUUCUGCUUUCGGUCCCGAUUUGUCCUUAGCGAGGAGAAAAGUAAUGCCAAAGGAUGGAAACACAACAGGUGGAAUCCAGCUCUACCGCUAAAUGACAAGCUACUCGACCUGCUCUGCAACUCGAGGGAUAAGAAGGUGAGACCUGGAAGGAGCUGAUGGAGGUGGGGAUUCUCAUUGCCAUGGAAACACUGUGGGGCCAAGGGGUGUGGGGAGGCCACUGGGAUCUUCCUCACGCAGGUCCCUGAUGCAGCUGGGAGGACAGGAAAAGAAAGUGAAAGAAAAGAAGUGGCCUUGAGCCCGUCUGGAGCUGGAACUGAGGAAUCCUGAAGCACCAACACACCCUCACCCCAAGGGGGGCUGAAGCCGAACUGGGUUCCCCGCAAGGCACAGGCAUUAAUGACACAGGCUCUCAACUGUCACUACACUGUGGGAUAAGAUGCUGCUCUGGGUGCCGGGGUACAGACGUGGGUGGGAAAGGCAUGUCCCUGUCCUCACAGACCUCACAGUCAUGGGGCACAGACAGACACGGAUCAGACACACAGGACACGCCACCAGCAGGUGAUGAGUGCUGGGGAAAAAGUCAAGUGGGAUAAAAGCUAGAGAUGACAGGAGGGGGAAGGACACUCGGUCAGGGAGGGUGACAUCUGAGCAGAGACCUGAAGGCGGUGAGCCUUGUGAAUACCCAUAUGGGGAGGCUGUUCCAGGCCAAGGGAGCAGCAGGUGUCAAGGCCCUGUGAUGGGCGGAGCUUGGCACAGGGAGGAAUGGCAGGGGGCUGGCCUCGGGGAGCGAUGGGAAGCCUGGGGGGCAGCGGGGGGUGGACAGGUCUCAUGGGACCCUGAGACCACGUAAGCCCCAGAGGCCUCCUGCUACUCCAGGAGGCCACGCCCACCUCGUUUGCUGCUAUGCCCUGGCUCCGGCAUUAUGAUCGUUGUCAAAUGAAUGGAUGGAAAAUGAUUUCAGUUCCCAACCUUGUCAAUCUCAGUAUUUGUGAAUAUCAUUAAAACAUAUCAUUUCCUCCUCCAUCUGCAGUAAAGCAGAGCUGAGAAAUUUAAGGCCCCUUCAGAUCCUACAGAGGAUCCUACAAAUAAGGGCCAAGGAUCUUGUGUACAGCUAAACAAACGCGCCAGCACUCUGACACUGGGGGUGCGAGCCCCAGCAUCAGUGCGAGGCUCGGGCAACGCCAGGAUAAGCAGAACCUGAGAUUCGUAGGCUCCUUCUGCAUUUCAUGCCUACAGCACUUAUAAAGUCAGUCGAAGGAGAGCCCCUGCGUGGUAACCCUUGCCUAUUUAUUGCCACUAUGUGGGCAAGAGCCCCGUCCGCUUGUGCCUCAGUGGCCUGGGGCUAUGGUGGAGCAUCGCGCCCGACAGAACUAUCUGUUCUUGGCCACUACAACCCUGCGAUCACCUCUUCUUGGAAAAGGAUAAUCAGGAAGGCAUUUUCUUCCAGCGGGGUUCAGCUUUGUCUGCACAAACCCUUCUGCCCUGAGCGCCUUUCAUCUGGGAGGGAAUGCUCCUGCAACAACACGAUCGUUGGGUCCUGCCUGUGCCCUUUGAGUCAUAUUAGGCUAAGAAGAUGCUUUCAAAAAUUAAAUCAGGCUUUCUCUGAGUGAAGGUCAAGGCCACAGCUCCACCACCAGAGCUCUCCCCACCCACGGCUUCCCAGAAACGCGUGUCCACAGUGCCUGUGUCCUCCUGAAUCACAUCCCCGCUGCCCGGCUGUGUAGACUGUGCGUUUCCUCAUUGCACACGAGGUCACUGCCUUUUGAUUCCAUUGGAAGUUCUCCUUGCUCGCUUGGGUGAGCCAUUUCCGCACUGGCCUGAGCACCACGUGAGGGUGGAUUUAUUCUCAUCACAGAUCUGGAGAACGGUGGAUUUAUUCACACAAUAAAUCAUUACCACCAGCAAAAGCCAAAUGGCACAUUUUAAUUUAUCCCAAGCAGCUCUUUUCUGGUUGAAAACCACGCCUCUACUGUUAACUUCACUUUCUCUUUGCUUCACUAGAACUUGGCUUUCAUCUCUCUUGCAGGGAAACAAAAGAGUGUAUCAAUUCAGGAGAUUUACCAUGAAUGCAGCACAUGUCACAAAGAAGACGUGAGGACAUGGGGGCUGUCCGGUCAGCUCACCAGCCAGGUGGCUUCUUCCCACUCGCCAGCUAUGACUCGAAAAGCUCAAAGUCAGCGUCUCAGCAAAAUGACCCCUUCCCACAUGCAAGGACCUUUGAGAUCACCUGGGAAUCCACUGAAAAGGCAAACAUUACAUCUGAGAAUCACAAGGGUCUAACGUAGAGCUCAUAGGCCGGCAGCCCAAAGGCUGAAGCCAGCCUGCAGAUUGCGUUGUGUGCCUUUUUUUAAAAAUUGGAAACAGAUGCUAAGUUAAAAAAAAAAAAAAAGAAUAGGAAAUCCACCUGAAAAUCGGGAUUCCUGGCAUCUCUUGAAAAGUCCUAUGAUCUGACGUGGCAAUCGUGAGCUGGGGAGCAGCUCCUGCUGCAGGCGUGGCAUCAGUGAUGGUCACGUGCCUGUAAGCCCGGAAACUGUGCACGAUUUGUGCCGUGAAAGGUCCAGGGAAACAGCUGGCUUAGCCCUGUUUUGUCCUGAGCUGCACAUACUCCCUCUAAAAUCCACCCAGGAGGGGGAAGGGGGCUGCCCGCUGGGACAAUAGCUUACAUCUGAGUAUUCCAGAGCCUCUGUGCAUUUUAAGUUGGCUCAGCCUCAGCAGGCUACACGCUCCCCACAGCGUAGGAGACCGCGACAAAUGGCCACAAACGCCUCCCACCUGCAUCCCACCUGCAGUGUGCCAUAUCGCCCUGUGACGCUGCAGCAUCUCCCAUCAAAAGGCGGGUGGAAUCUGUUUCUCUAGCUGGGCAUGGCCUGGUGACUCCCUUUGGCCAACAGGUCCUUAGCAGUCACGACCAGGCGGAGCCUAACUUAAGAAAGGACUUACAUGCUGGGGUGUGUCCUCUCGGGCUGCCUGGAGACCACCAGGCGCUGGGUAAUGAGACCACGUGGAGCAGAGACGAGGUGUCCCAGCUGAGGUCCUUGGGCCAGCGGGACUGCCAGACGCUGUGAGGGUGGCCGUGCGAGACCAGCCAGCCAGGCACCCACUACGGAACCGGCCAGCCCCCUGCAGCAAUAAUAGAAGCAUUGUCGCAGCCACCGCAGUGUGGAGGGGAUUGUUAGGCGGCAAGAGAUAGUUGAUAACACCUGGCUCGUCCAGGCCUGUGCUCUUCUCAACUCUGAGGCUUAUUUGGGGGCCUCUCCACAGGCAGAUGCUGUCUGUAACCCUUAACACUCAUCCUUCUGCUGCUGUCUCUUCGUGAGCCCAGGAAUGCACGUGAUUUUUAAUGAUUUUUUCAAGGAAGGCAGUCAGCCCCCAUCUCCCCAUCCCUGACUAAAUGACUUUACUCUUUCCUCGCAUAUUACAGUCCUUUGCUCUGCACCCGGCCCCUGAAGAAUUUGUAGCAAAGUGUCCUGUGUGGUUAGUUUUUGUAAGAAAUGAGCAGCAGUUGCUUUCAUCCUCCCAGCAGCAGUGACCUCCACGGCAUCCAUGUUUCCCUUCAGGGAACCACCUCUUCUCCAUCUUCUCAGUCUACAUGCUUUGGAUGGAUCUGGAUCUGCCCCCACUCCUGGCCCUUCCUGGGCCCUUGAGAGAACAGGUGCCUCUCCCUGACUACAGAGACUGGAGAUCGGUUCAGGGUAGAGCUGGUUCUUGGACUCUGCUGGAACUAUUUGGAGAGGAGCAGUCCCUUUCCCCAGGGGUUGCUAAGUCAGUAAAUGCGAGCCUGGAGCCACCAGGGACCAUCUCCGGGCCACGCCUGAGACUACAGAUGUGGUUCUCAAAGUGUGGUCCCUGGAGCAGUAACAUCAGUAUCACCUAGGAACUUGUUAGGAAUUAAAACACUUAGGCUCCACCCUAGAUGCACUGAAUUAAAAUUUGGGCAGGGUCCAACAAUCUGGUUUUAAUUUGCUUGGCCAAUAAUUCUGAUGCAUGUUCAAGUUUGAGACCCACUGGACUCAAAAAGUAGAGCUAAGUGAUGAAGAAACAGUUCCUGGUGAUAGCAUCAUCUGAGUACCUGGAUCCCACCAUACCUGAGGGCAGAUCUAUAGUCCUGGACUUUUCAGGUCUCUGAGUGAUACAUUUUCCUUUGUUGCUUCAGCCAGUUUGCAUUUCUGACACUUGCUAUUAAUAAUGAACACUGACAUAUGUUAUGAGACUCUGGACUUUGGCAGAAUGGUCUUCCUGCUGCAGGUUUUCUUGACAGAAAUGCUAACUGCGCUAACUGCAGGGCUGUUAGGGUCUUCUAAUUCACUCAUGCUGAGGGGUGUUACUUUAUUUCUGUGGUUGGCAGCUUGUCUGGGAAAAGUGGUUCCGAUGUAUAACUUCCCUAGAGCACUCUGACGACUUGGACAGUAAACUUUCUGCAGUAAA